GUCCCAGUAGCUCAGUGGUAGAGCUAAACAUGGGUGGUCUGGAGUGCAAGUGAAAUGCCGGGGUUUGAAUUCCUGCUGGGACU